AUAUACAGAGUGAGAGAGAAUGAAAGAGACAGAGAGAAAGAGAGAGAACAGCACAGAUUUAAAGUGUAGAUACUGCAGGUAAACAGAAUUUAAGUCCAAGGGACGUCAUUUACUAGCCCAAUGCCUUGGGCAAGCUAUUUGAUUUUUCUGUGCCUGUUUUUCCCUCUGUACCAACUAAUUCUCAAACCUGUAUCAUAAGGUUACUACAAUGACUCACACAUAAUCAUCAGUUACAUACAGAUGUCUCAGAAUGGUACCUAUAGAACAUAGAAGAUUCAUUUGUGAAAGCAUUAUUACUUGUGGUAUUAUUUUCAUUAAUAAUAAUAAUAAUAAGUAAAGCCCUAUUGUCUUGAGUAGCUGAGGAGAGGGGAUUUGACUAGGCGCCCGUAGGGGUGAGAGCCAGCCUUGGCCCUCUCAUUAAGCAGCUGUGCUGAACCUCUGUUUGGGCAGCACAGUGAACCUCCCCGUGCCUCAGUGUCCUUGCUGGGAAGAUGGGAUUAUGCCAGCCAUCUGGCUUAGUUCAUUGACUAGUUUAAAGAGUAAUCACCUGGGUACGUGACGCGAAAGUGCUUUGGCAAACUAAUACCAGGCUGUCACGGGUUCUGGAUGUCCACUUGUGGCUGGCUGGAGCGUGGCAGGGAGGGAGCUGCGGCAGGGCGCUGGCUGGGGAGAACCUCUCCAGUCGUUCUGCUUUGGGGUCUGAGGAAGGCCCAGGACUGCGAAGCCUGCGGGGCCCACGGCAGCAGUCUGGCUGACCUGUGUGGUUUCAUGGGCCUGCACAGGAAUCAAAAGCGAGUCAUUAGCAGUGCUGGGAGUUUUCCUGGACUAAACAAUGGCACCCUCAUCCUGGGAUUCCCCGGGUUGUCAUCUGUUGACUUUGGAAUAGGAGGUGACUGUGUGCACACACUGCCUCGGCUGGUGCCUCUCAGACACCUGUUUCCUCCUGUCUCCACCCUCAUCUCACUCCCUGUGGACUGGACCCCGAGUGCCAGCCCCGCUCCUCACCCCAGCGGCCCUCAGCACAGACACCUCCUGGACUGGGAGAAGGGGGAGGCCCUCGAGUACACUGCAUCUGCUGCCGGGUGUGCGUGCGUGCACAUGUGUGUGUGUGCACGCGUGUGUGAAGCAAUCUCUUGUGAGGGUCAGGAUGCCUUACGAAAGUGGAAUAAGUAUACCCACUGCUUUUGUUCCAAAGGAAAAGUCUCCAAAGAUCCCACCGGAGAAUAACUUUUUGGCCCACUUCUAGGGUGUUUGUGUUCUUUUCCUUGCUCAAUCAUGGCAAAGUUCAUUGAAAAAAGCAGCUGCAUUCCCUAUAGCAAGUUUAUUAGGGAGGCGCUCAGGUUUUGAACAGUUCUGAGGAAGUGUAGCCCGCAGCCCCUUGGGGAAGCCGCUGCCUCUUAAAUUGCUACCCUUAAUCCCUGGUGACCAGAACUGGCCCAGAACGAAAGGGCUGAUCCCACAGGGAAAAUAAAAUAAACAGAACCACACCAUGCUCUCCCCCAUCCAACCACAACCACCAAAAACAAAACAGAGCAGAGCUCAACAAAUCAGCGCAACUCAGUGCGAGUUUGAGGGCAACUCCGUUCCAAACUGUUUCUCUGAAUCAUUCAGAUGCAAAACCAGAACAGAGGACAAAAAUUAGAAGCCAUUUAACUUUUUAAAGCCUUUCAACAAUAGCUAUCUAUAUUUCCAUGCCCACAAUGCUAUGGCAGAAUUUUUAAAAAUGUUUUGUUUUUGCCUUCAACAGUUUUAUUUCACCUUAGGUGAACCCCUGGCCCAACCGAAUGGGGCUUGAUGAGCCUAAAAUCAGUCUUUCAGCCACUUCCAAAAAUGUCUGUACGGCCCCCACACCCUGACACUUAAUGGGGUCAGCACUGGAGGUGCUGCUCCUUGGAGGGGGUGGGGAGGACAGAAGGCUGGCAGCGUGGAGGCUUUUCAAAGGGGGUCGGAGGUCACCCAGUGAUUGCACAAUUUCAACCCUUAUCUGCCUCACUGAGGUGCUGGCAGGGAGGGGGCUGGAGGAGGAGCCCCCAGGCCUGGGAUGUGGAAGAGAGCAAAUAAAUACCAGGGACGCCUGGCAACCCUCCCAGCUGAGGGGAAAGCGAGCCUGGUCUUCGAAGAUGGGUCCUGGAUUGCUUGGGACCUGUUUGGCAGCCUCGUGUAAGUUUAAAACCUCUUACCCUGAGGCUUUAAAGUUAGUCUUUAAUUCUUCAUUCAUUCAUCCUGAAACUUAUUUCUUAACCUAAGCCCCUUUGGUGUUUGGGUGGGGCAGGGGUGGGGCGCUAUAGAAAGACAUAAGACAGUCCUCACUCUCCAAAAGCUCUCCUUCUAGUAAUAUUUAAAAGAAAAGGUCAAGUAUCCCAAUUCUCAGGAAACAAAUGAAUCUUUCGUCUAGAAAAUUGGGUUUAUUUUCAAUACAUUUUUUACAGUACAGUGGAAGGAGCUCUAACAGAGGACUCAGAUUCUUCUGGAAAAUUAGGGAGGGACUGGAUGAUCUUGAAAUUCCCCAGACUCCCAGCAUGUGGGAUGUGUUACUUCUGUUUAAUCACGCCAGCAGUAAGCCAGGCGCUAGUUCGGGUGUACAAAGAUGAGUGAGAUAGAGCACCUGUUCCUGAGCAAUUUAUAAUCUGGGGCUAAUGAUACCAAUAGCGGUACUAAUGCCCAUAACAGCAAACGAGAUGACAGCUCCAAGAGGAGAUGGGCUAGGCCGUUGAGAGACAGAAACGGAGUACUGGGGACCACGGAGGUGGGCGGGUGCGGGGGAAUCUAAGAGAAGUUCAUCGACACAGUUGAUUUCACUCCGGGUCCAAAGAUCAACAGGUUGGCCGAGAAGGAAAGGAGAAGCAGCACUGCGUGCUGAGCGAACAGCCUAGGCCAAGGUAUUGGAGGUGUGACUGUGAUGGCCUAGCCCAGGAGAGUGACCCACAGGGACAUUGGGAGGGGCCACAGGAGGCGCUGCUCUACCCAGAAAUUCUCCACCACGGCCUGACCCCUGUCGUUGGAAAGGAGAAAGCAAACUGUGUGAGGAGCCAGGAAGCAACAGCUUAAACCCUGCUCAGGGAACCUGCUAAAGGCAGCAGCGCUAGUGAGGUAGUGAGCGCACCAGGAGUUGCCAGUACGUGAUCCUUUAUAUCUCCAGGAGAAUGAAAAGGGGUGGGGGGAGGGAGAGAAAUCCUUUGCUGGCCAGCCCAGCGGCUUUUCAGAGGCGUUUUCACUCAUUUGUGGGCUUGUCAGUGUGACAUUGUGUCUGCCCUCCUGAAAGCCAUACAUCUUACUUUGAAACCCUCCAAUGGCCUUGGACCCCCUGAAGACCCCAGUGUUCCCAGGCUGACCUUUAGGCGGGGGGGGGCUCAUGCCCCUCUGAGGCUGGUGGGGGGAAGAUGCCACCUCCCGUGCUCAGGCCUUCUUGCCACUGGCUCGCUGACAAAAGUCCUUUCUUCACCAGGAAGGAUUAGUGCUUUUUAAAAAUGUGACUCUCGAGUUCUGAAAAGCCUGCUAGCUGUGUACUUCCACGGCCUUUUAAUUUUCGUACAUUUUCUUCCUCCACCUCCAAGGUCUCUGGGCCCUCCCGGAGUGGAAGGGGAUUUGAAAUAAGUCUUAAAGUCACGUGCAAAACUGUCUGCUCCCAGGGAUGGCAUUUCCGGGACUUCAUUUCCUGUAUGUAGUGUAACAGUGACACGGAUGCUGCAGAGAUAGGGGGUUAGGUGGGUGGGGCUGAGCCGUAGUUCUGGUGGGUGGUUUCUGAGCUGGUUGAGCACAGCCAAUCCCUGUCCCUCUCGCAGUCUUUAUCUGCAAUAUGGGAAAAGUGACCUUUCUUAGCAUUGCUGUGAUGAGUUUAAGUGAAAGGUGCCCUGUACCGCACUUAACGAAUAGCUGCUAACUUGGCUAGGAUUUUCAUUUGAUAAAUGAUGCUGAACUCUUCUGUGGUUUUACUAUUCAAGCCCAGUCACUUGGGGAAAAAAGUAAUGGGCUCCCUGUGUUAAGCUAUCUUGCGUAUUUGCACCCUCCGGGGUGGCACACAGCUUCUGGUCUUCCCUUCAUCAUGCUUGUGCCACGUAAAGGCUGCCGUUCCCCUUGUGUGGGGGGAGAGGCACCAUCCUGCAUUCGGGGUGCGCUAGAGAGCCCCCUUUUGUCAGGCGCUCCCCACAGCGUCUGAACUCUCUCCCCCAUUAGUCACUGCUUGGCUGAAGGAUCAGAAGGACCCCGGUUAAGCUGAAGCAUGUUUGCUGGGAAACACAUUAAGGCAGUAACAGCUGGACACAAAUUAGUUUAUCAGACUCGGGCUGGACUUGCAGAAGCUGGGGGUGAGAAGGAACUUUCCAGAUCACGCAUUAAUAGGUGAGGGAACAGAGGUCUUCGGAGGGGCAGAUCUUUGGGAUGCCAGGCCUCAACCCUGGCUUUCUGGCCCGAAUCUCCUCCCCUCUUUGUUCUGCCUCGAGGAGCAAGAUAGAUACUCCAACUCUCAUUCAGGAGAUAUUUAUCACGUGCCUCCCGCACGCAGCUGGGCAAGUGCUGAAAAUUCAGGGAAGCAUGAGUAGGGAACACGGAUGAGGGAAUAUGCAAAAUGCUGGUCGACAUGGGACAGAUCUCAUGAUGCUGGGGAUAGAAGGGUCUGGAACAUAAGAUACUUGAGCAGCAAAGGGCAGACCCGGGCUCUGGGGUGUCAGUGCCACCAGGAGUUGCACGACAUCAGGAUCUAGGGCCCUAUCACGUGGCUACCAAGACAGUGUAAGAAAGGUCACCCUCAGGGUUCUGGGCUAAGAGGGAGGUGGGGUGGGGUGGGGGUCACUGCCUGCAGGGGUCAGCGCCGCAUUGUCAGGCCCAGGGGAUGGGUCAGAAAGCCGUGAGCUGAAAAAAGAGGCCCACACUGGGAGGAACCAGAGCACACUUCGGGGCAGACCUCCGCAAGCAUUGUUCCCACCACUUUGUCCCACGUGGUUGACGCAGACUGAUCUCUUUCCCUUAAUUCACAUCAAAGGCCUCGGUGGAAGAUCACAAAAAUGGGGGGAAGGAGAAGAGAGGCCCUGGGAGAGGCGACUUGAUGAAUAGCUUUCCAAGGUGUGGGAGGCUUCCAGGAGCCACUUCUGUCUGAAAAUCUGCAGCGUCCUGACGCCUGCUGGUGUGAACUCAUAGCCGUUACCCCAUUGGGGACACCCCCUGCAUCCGUGGAUUACUGGUGAUAUCAGUCACCUUUUCCAUAUGCCGCUCCUUACUCCGGUCCUCCGCAGAGAAUGCUGCUGCAUGGUUCCAAUAGCCUUCUAACUGGUCAUCCUCCCUCCAGCCUCCACCUUUUCAAAGCUGUUCUUUUGCUGUUACUGGAGAGAUCCUCUAAUCUAAUCACUCCCAAGAAUUAAGAGUAGAAUCCCCUUUUCAGGGACUUAGCCUGCUCCAGCCUAACAAACAACCCCAUUUCCUGCCACUUGAUCCCUACACUCUGAUCACACAGAGCCUGCCAUCGCCCCUCCGCACCUUUGCACGCACUAUUCCACCUUCCUGGGGUGCAUUCCUCCUCCUGUGGAGUCUGCCUUCCCCCUUCCAGACGCAGGGCAGUGUCACUUCUGUGAGGCUCUUCCAGGCUUCCCAGUCUGGGUCAUAUCUCUUCUCUUUGUGGCCCAGCUGUAUACUGCACAGACCCUCUCUUGUGGCACCUGUCACGCUGCUUUGCAACCGUUGGUAUAUAUGUCCAUCUUCUAAUAGACUGUGUGUGUGCACGGUAGGGGCGUGCGCGCACACACCACACACGUUAGAGACAGACUCCUUUCUGAUUUUCAGUGCCCAGCCUGGAGCCAGGUAAAUGCAUCUUGGCAGAUGCUCAAGGAGUGUCUGUGAAAUGACCUAGCACACACAAAGUGUGAAGGUGCGAGGUCUGAAAGGCAAGGCCACAGAGCUAUUCCCUUUACUUAAGGCCGAGGGAGAUGCAUGCCCUUUCUGCCCCACCCUACCCUUCCUCCUUGCACUGGGAAUGGUGUUUCCCAUCUUUGACCUGCAGAGGUUCUGACUGGGAACUAAUUCAGUGACUUCCUGGAGAUGUACAGUUUCUGAUCUUUUGGAUAUCCUAGAGAAUAUGAUAAACCUGUAGAUGCUUCCCCAGAAAAUGCGCCCACACCCAGUCUCACAGCCUUUUCACAGGUUUCUGGACUCCACACCCUCCCACCUAGCCUCAAGGACCCCUGGCUUAAAACAGCUACAAUAGAGAGAUUGUGUUUUACUCUCUAGG